AUUAGAGUAGUUUAUGGAAAAUGUUAGUUUGUGGGGCUAAAGAAGUAGAUUUUACCUUUAAUU
rnacentral:tRNA from 1 species